rnacentral:rRNA from 1 species
AGUACGGCGGAACACGAGAAAUUCCGUCGGAAUCCGCGGGGACCAUCCCGCAAGGCUAAAUACUCCCUAGUGACCGAUAGUGAACCAGUACCGUGAGGGAAAGGUGAAAAGCACCCCGGAAGGGGAGUGAAAUAGAUCCUGAAACCGUGUGCCUACAACAAGUCAAAGCUCGUUAAUGAGUGAUGGCGUGCCUUUUGUAGAAUGAACCGGCGAGUUACGAUUGCAUGCGAGGUUAAGUCGAAGAGACGGAGCCGCAGCGAAAGCGAGUCUGAAUAGGGCGAAUGAGUAUGUAGUCGUAGACCCGAAACCAUGUGAUCUACCCAUGUCCAGGUUGAAGGUGCGGUAAAACGCACUGGAGGACCGAACCCACGUACGUUGAAAAGUGCGGGGAUGAGGUGUGGGUAGCGGAGAAAUUCCAAACGAACUUGGAGAUAGCUGGUUCUCUCCGAAAUAGCUUUAGGGCUAGCCUCGGAAUUGAGAAUGAUGGAGGUAGAGCACUGUUUGGACUAGGGGCCCAUCUCGGGUUACCGAAUUCAGAUAAACUCCGAAUGCCAUUCAUUUAUAUCCGGGAGUCAGAC